rnacentral:lncRNA from 1 species
UUAGUAUUGAUAUUUUCCCUAGAAACUUGGUACAAACUAAAUACUAGAUGUGUUAUAUGAUUCAAAACCUAGGGCUCAAUAAAAUCCGCAUACAUGUGGGGCUAUUGUCAGAUGUUAGUCGAAUCAUCCACAUCUAGAUGCAUUUAUUCUCAGCCAGGGAUCAUUAGGACUAUAGAAGAAUACUUGUUGUCAAAGAAAUCACACAUACAAUUAAAACUGAAUAAUAAAUGCAGACUAAUAUAGCGGUACAUAUCCCUAUACUUAUUUAAUGGUGAGAUAUAGGUGGUGGGGGUGUGUUUUGUAUAUUGAAAAUUUUAUUUUUCUAUUAUUUUCAUCCAUCUAUCUCCUUUAUCAUGAUUGCCUUUCUGUUGAUUGGAUUGCCAGACAAGUACAAAAUCACUACCAUGUCAUGAGUAAAAGGGAUUUUAGUAGACGAUAGUGCCAACUCUAGACGGUUUUGUCACUUAAGCGACAACCAGAUAUGUUGAGGGUUGUUAUUAAGAGAAAAACGUAGAAUUGUCCAACAGUAAAGAACCAGAGAUAUACUUCCUUAUCUAAAUUGAAUUAUGUUUGAAGAAUUGUCAGCAAAAUCGGAUAGAAUUAAUGCUCAUAGGAAGGUCAAGAAAGGUUAAAGAUGAGAUUCGACGGAGCAAAAAGGAGAUGAGAAACACUCAAGAUGUCAAGCAUAUGCUUAUUAAACCAAGAGCUCAUAGUAACUAUGCUUGUCUAAGCAAUUAAGUCACAUUAGCCUUUCAACGGGAAAAAGUUAGGUCACAUUAGGCUUGGUGUACUACCUUAAUUUCAUGUCCUUCCUUCUCUAAAUUGAAUUAUGUUUGAAGGAUUGUCAGCAAAAUCGGAUAGAAUUAAUGCUCAUAGGAAGGUCAAGAAAGGGUAAAGAUGAGCUUCGACGGAGCAAAAAGGAGAUGAAAACACUCAAGAUGUCAAGCAUAUGCUUAUUAAACCAAGAGCUUAUGGUAACUAUGCUUGUCUAAGCAAUUAAGUCACAUGAGCCUUUCAACAGGAAAAAGUUAGGUCACAUUAGGCUUGGUGUACUACCUUAAUUUCAUGUCCGUCCUCGUUGGUUAACCAUAGGAAUCGACGAUGGACGCCGCACGUUGUAUGCCACCGCUAAAACUGGCGGUGCUUUACAACAGCGUUGUGAUAUGCAUUAGUUAGAAAAAUGCAUCUGAAAUCAUAUGAUGCAUGCGGUAACCAACCUCAAAACAAACAAUGACAAGAAAAACACAUCAUCAAGUAGUGGGC